UACGGGGGGGGGUAAGCGUUGUUCGGAAUUACUGGGCGUAAAGGGCUCGUAGGCGGCCAACUAAGUCAGACGUGAAAUCCCUCAGCUUAACUGGGGAACUGCGUCUGAUACUGGAUGGCUUGGAUUCGGGAGAGGAAUGCGGAAUUCCAGGUGUAGCGGUGAAAUGCGUAGAUAUCUGGAGGAACACCGGUGGCGAAGGCGGCUCUCUGGGACGGUACUGACGCUGAGACGCGAAAGCGUGGGGAGCAAACAGG
rnacentral:rRNA from 1 species